ensembl:misc_RNA
CGGAGCUCAUUAGGCAGAGCGGGGUGCCGAGAGGUGCGCGCUGCCGGCCCCUGAGGCCGCCUUUGAGCGGCCGGGGAGGCUUCAUUAAGCGGCGCUAACAAGGCGUACAAAUGCCAGGCCCAGCAGCUUUCUUGCAAUGCUGGGGCCUUAGCAGGGCGCCGGGCUAAUGAGGGUCACUCAAAGGGGCUGAUCAAAUAUUCAAAUUUCCCCCGCACGCCAGGAACUUUUAUGCAUGGAGAAAGUUGAGGCAACUGAGCUGUGUUUACGGUCCUG